GGGCUUGCACAAGCGGUGGAGCAUGUGGUUUAAUUCGACGAUAAGCGAAGAACCUUACCAGGACUUGACAUCCCGAUCAUACCCUGCAGAAAUGUGGGGGUCAGUUCGGCUGGAUCGGUGACAGGUGCUGCACGGUUGUCGUCAGUUCGUGCCGUGAGGUGUUCCGUUAAGUCGGCUAACGAACGAAACCCUUAUCGCUAGUUGUAUUUUUCUAGUGAGACUGCCUCGGUUAACGGGGAGGAAGGUGAGGAUGACGUCAAAUCAGCGUGGCUCUUACGUCCUGGGCUACACACGUGCUACAAUGGUGAUUACAAAGGGUCGCAAUACCGUAAGGUGGAGCCAAUCCUUAAAAAUCAUCCCAGUUCGGAUUGAGGGCUGCAACUUGCCCUCAUGAAGCUGGAAUCGCUAGUAAUCGUGGGUCAGCCAUACCACGGUGAAUACGUUCUCAAGCCUU
rnacentral:rRNA from 1 species